rnacentral:ncRNA from 1 species
AAAUUGUUUUGUAAUAUUAUUUUUAUUUUUAAUUAAAAUUUAAUUUUGGUUUAUAAUUUAUUAUUUUUUUAUUUUAUAUGUAAAUUUUAUUAUUUAAAAUUUUAUUUGCAGUAAUUUAUAUUAUUAAUUAAUGAAAUUUAGAAUUAGUAAUAAAUUUUAAGAUUAAAUUAUUUUGUGCCAGCAUUUGCGGUUAAACAAAAGAUUUAAAUAAAUUUUUUUGAUUUGUAAUUAAAUAGAUUUUUUAUUAAAGCUUAAAUAUUAAAGGUGAAAUUUAUUAUUUAUUUAUAUAAAUAUUUAUUAGGUAAAUUUUAUUGUUUUAUGAAAAUAAAAGUUUAAACUAGGAUUAGAUACCCUAUUAUUUUUAUUGUUUUAUUAAAAUUAAAUUAUUAAUAGUUAUGUUCUUGAAAUUUAAAAAAUUUGGCGGUAUUUUUUCUUUAUAGAGGAACCUGUUUUAUAAAUGAUAAUCCACGAUAUAAUUUACUUAAAUUUAUAAUUAGUAUAUCGUUGUUAUAAAAAUAUAUUUUUAGAUUUUUAAAUUUUAAAAUAUUUUAUAAUAUUUUAUUUCAAAUCAAGAUGCUGUUUAUAUUUAUGAUUUAAUGGGUUACAAUUAAUUUAUUAAAAUGGAUUUUAAAUUGUAAAAUUUGAAUGAAAGUGGAUUUAUUUGUAAUUUAAAAUAAAUUUUUUAUUUGAUAUUAGUUCUGAAAUAUGUACAUAUCGCCCGUCGCUCUCAUUUUAAAAUGAGAUAAGUCGUAACAUAGUAGAUUUACUGGAAAGUGGCUCUAGAAAAU